rnacentral:lncRNA from 1 species
GAUAAAGAAAUAAUUGUUUUAUCGUGCAUCAGACUAUGUCAUGGGACGUCACAAUGGCAAAGAGCCUAGUAUAAAAAUUGGAGGAUGGGGUGGGGCAGCAGAGUGGGUUAGCAGCAUCCAGAGCUGGGCUUUAUCCAGCCCUAGGCCUCAGGGCAUCACCUUUGCCUUGGGACGAGAGGAGAGUGGUUUGGGCAGGAUGUGGACCCUCUGGCCAAUUUCCAGGCCACGGUGAGGCCAAGAGGGGGUGGGCUAUGUAAGGGCUGUGCCAGUUCCCCCUGGGACAGUUUGGAGCUGGGCAUGUCCAAAGAAGCUCCUUUUCCUGUGGCUGUGGAUUUCUUUGAUCUCUGCAGCACUGGCGGUGGUUGGCCUGGGCAGUGGUUCCUAGAAUUUGGUCUCAUUAACCUAGGUCGCAACCUUCAGAACCCCAGGAAGAUCAGCUUUAGGAACUCCCUGGCAGGUGAAAAGGGCAGUUCCCAUCAUACCAGCAUCCAGCCUGGACCUACUGUUCCCUGGAUGGGGAGAGUGGCUCAGCUCUUUCCUCUGGGAGGGGAGGGGUCCUCAUUGUUCCCUCUUUCUGGGUCUAGCCUCUGCUAGUGAGGCAUAGUAUUUUUUUUGGGCUUAGUAGACAGCUGAACAGCCAGCCAGGGGAGCAGCGGACCCAGCUGGGCAGCUGUGGCGACAGUUGGAUCAGCUUUCAUCCACAUCAGAGCUGGCCUGCCCCAAGAUUAUCAACCACAUUUGAAUGUGGCUCCAGCACCUCACUUGGUUUUGGCUUCCUCCUUGUAUGGACAUUGAGCAGAGAUCUUGGCUGGGGGCCAAGGGUGUUGACCCUCUUUUCAUGAGGGAGCCAACACUAGGAGGCACAAACCACAAUGCCUGGAGAAGAGUUUCUGCAGGCUGGAGCCCAUAUUCCGAAUCUCGGACGUUGAAUUCAGCCACUGAACACAGGAGCCAGGAGCUUGGAGUCUGGGAACCCCAAGUGGGGGAUCACAGAGCAUAAAAUCUCCGACCUGAAACUUAGAGCCCCAGUGUGGGGGCAGUCUGGAAAGUGGGCUUACAGCAACUUCCUCUGGUGAUUGGGAGCCCAUCUGAGAAGCAGAUGGGUCAAGGGCAAGGUCUUGAUCCAUGCAUGUCCUUCUCACAAGCCUGGGCGGGGCUCGUGAUGGUUUGGCGGUUGUACAGGGUCAGGCCCAGGCUCAGACCCAAGAAGACCUGCAGUUUCUCUACCUUUGGGUACAAGAACCAAGGAGGAGGCUUGGCUGGAGGACUCUUCUGGCCCUGCCUGUCCAUCCAGCUUGCUGUGAGAGGUCUGGGGAGCACUGCCGUCUCUGAUGUCAGAUGGGCAUUAGCAUUCUUGGUUUGUCUGCUUCCCAGGACUGUUGUGGCCAUCAAGUGAGAUGGCCUGUACAGGGCCUAGAACACGUAGUAUUUGCUCAAUAAAUUGUGUUGAGUAAGAUAAUGGGAGAGGACUUUAUUGCACAGCCCUUUCCUCCCUCCCUCUCGCAGGUGUGUGUGUGUGUGUUUUCCUUUUUCAGUUUCAUGGAGGAACAGUGCUGUGAAAGGUGACUCAGGGGCAUGACUGCAAAGGCACAGCCCUUUCCUCCCUCUCUCUCGCAGGUGUGUGUGUGUGUCCGUGUGUGUGUGUGUGUGUGUGUGUGUGUGUGUGUGUGUGUGUUUCAGUUUCAUGGAGGAACAGCGCUGUGAAAGGUGACUCGGGCAUGACUGCAAAGGCACAGCCGGGAUCCCUGGUCCAGGAUGGCAGCCUAUAUGCCUGCCUAGGUGGGUCUGGGGAGUGGUUAAGUUUCCUCUUCCCAGGGGCAGGCUGGGGCAGGCUGGGUUCUAGGGUGGGACUUCAGUCGUCUCUUGCUCUCAUCUCCCUCUUCUUGCCUGGAAGGACCCACAGAUAUCGAACCUCUAGCUGUCCAUGUAAGGGCUGAAAUGAACCUGGUGCCCUUGACCUGGUAUCUGCUUGUUCCCUUUCUCAGGGCAUUUGAGAGACAUGGCUUCUAGGCUCAAGCUGCCAGGAGUCCAUGUGUAUGUGUGCUGGAGAGUUAAGAGUUCUUUUUUCCAGAGGGUGUGACUUCCAUCAAGUCGGUACCUAUUUUCCCUGCCAUAAGGCCCCCUCUUCCCCGAUGACACGGUCAGUAGCCAUGUGGUGGUAAUACUCCUUGUUACUCCACCUUAGGUCUGCAAGUAGAAAAACGGACACAGAUAACAACUGAGUGGUCAGUGGCAGCCACAUGCGGGCAGCCAGCGGCACGAGCAAGGUCCCUUUGGUCAGUGGCAGCCACAAAG